CGGGUGCGUUCACGUGGGCAAUCUGCCCUGCACUCUGGGACAAGCCCUGGAAACGGGGUCUAAUACCGGAUAUGACACGAGGGGGCAUCUUCUCGUGUGGAAAGCUCCGGCGGUGCAGGAUGAGCCCGCGGCCUAUCAGCUUGUUGGUGGGGUGAUGGCCUACCAAGGCGACGACGGGUAGCCGGCCUGAGAGGGCGACCGGCCACACUGGGACUGAGACACGGCCCAGACUCCUACGGGAGGCAGCAGUGGGGAAUAUUGCACAAUGGGCGCAAGCCUGAUGCAGCGACGCCGCGUGAGGGAUGACGGCCUUCGGGUUGUAAACCUCUUUCAGCAGGGAAGAAGCGCGAGUGACGGUACCUGCAGAAGAAGCACCGGCUAACUACGUGCCAGCAGCCGCGGUAAUACGUAGGGUGCGAGCGUUGUCCGGAAUUAUUGGGCGUAAAGAGCUCGUAGGCGGCUUGUCGCGUCGGAUGUGAAAGCCCGGGGCUUAACCCCGGGUCUGCAUUCGAUACGGGCAGGCUAGAGUUCGGUAGGGGAGAUCGGAAUUCCUGGUGUAGCGGUGAAAUGCGCAGAUAUCAGGAGGAACACCGGUGGCGAAGGCGGAUCUCUGGGCCGAUACUGACGCUGAGGAGCGAAAGCGUGGGGAGCGAACAGGAUUAGAUACCCUGGUAGUCCACGCCGUAAACGUUGGGAACUAGGUGUGGGUGGCAUUCCACGUCAUCCGUGCCGCAGCUAACGCAUUAAGUUCCCCGCCUGGGGAGUACGGCCGCAAGGCUAAAACUCAAAGGAAUUGACGGGGGGCCCGCA
rnacentral:rRNA from 1 species